rnacentral:rRNA from 1 species
UGAAGAAGGCCUUCGGGUUGUAAAGUACUUUCAGUCGGGAGGAAGGUGGUAAGGUUAAUAACCUUAUCAAUUGACGUUACCGACAGAAGAAGCACCGGCUAACUCCGUGCCAGCAGCCGCGGUAAUACGGAGGGUGCAAGCGUUAAUCGGAAUUACUGGGCGUAAAGCGCACGCAGGCGGUUGAUUGAGUCAGAUGUGAAAUCCCCGGGCUUAACCCGGGAAUUGCAUCUGAUACUGGUCAGCUAGAGUCUUGUAGAGGGGGGUAGAAUUCCAUGUGUAGCGGUGAAAUGCGUAGAGAUGUGGAGGAAUACCGGUGGCGAAGGCGGCCCCCUGGACAAAGACUGACGCUCAGGUGCGAAAGCGUGGGGAGCAAACAGGAUUAGAUACCCUGGUAGUCCACGCUGUAAACGAUGUCGACUUGGAGGUUGUGCCCUUGAGGCGUGGCUUCCGGAGCUAACGCGUUAAGUCGACCGCCUGGGGAGUACGGCCGCAAGGUUAAAACUCAAAUGAAUUGACGGGGGCCCGCACAAGCGGUGGAGCAUGUGGUUUAAUUCGAUGCAACGCGAAGAACCUUACCUACUCUUGACAUCCAGAGAACUUUCCAGAGAUGGAUUGGUGCCUUCGGGAACUCUGAGACAGGUGCUGCAUGGCUGUCGUCAGCUCGUGUUGUGAAAUGUUGGGUUAAGUCCCGCAACGAGCGCAACCCUUAUCCUUUGUUGCCAGCGCGUGAUGGCGGGAACUCAAAGGAGACUGCCGGUGAUAAACCGGAGGAAGGUGGGGGAUGACGUCAAGUCAUCAUGGCCCUUACGAGUAGGGCUACACACGUGCUACAAUGGCGUAUACAAAGGGAAGCGACCCCGCGAGGGCAAGCGGAACUCAUAAAGUACGUCGUAGUCCGGAUUGGAGUCUGCAACUCGACUCCAUGAAGUCGGAAUCGCUAGUAAUCGUAGAUCAGAAUGCUACGGUGAAUACGUUCCCGGGCCUUGUACACACCGCCCGUCACACCAUGGGAGUGGGUUGCAAAAGAAGUAGGUAGCUUAACCUCCGGGAGGGCGCUUACCACUUUGUGAUUCAUGACUGGGGUGAAGUCGUAACAAGGUAACCGUAGGGGAACCUGCGGCUGGAUCACCUCCUUAAGC